rnacentral:rRNA from 1 species
AUUGAACGCUGGCGGCAGGCCUAACACAUGCAAGUCGAAUGGUAACAGGAAACAGCUUGCUGUUUCUCUGACGAGUGGCGGACGGGUGAGUAAUGUCUGGGAAACUGCCUGAUGGAGGGGGAUAACUACUGGAAACGGUAGCUAAUACCUCAUAACGUCGCAAGCCCAAAGAGGGGGACCUUCGGGCCUCUUGCCAUCAGAUGUGCCCAGAUGGGAUUAGCUAGUAGGUGGGGUAACGGCUCACCUAGGCGACGAUCCCUAGCUGGUCUGAGAGGAUGACCAGCCACACUGGAACUGAGACACGGUCCAGACUCCUACGGGAGGCAGCAGUGGGGAAUAUUGGACAAUGGGAGCAAGCCUGAUGCAGCCAUGCCGCGUGUAUGAAGAAGGCCUUCGGGUUGGAAAGUACUUUCAGCGGGGAGGAAGGGAGUAAAGUUAAUAACUUUGCUCAUUGACGUUACCCGCAGAAGAAGCACCGGCUAACUCCGUG